rnacentral:rRNA from 1 species
UAAUACGAGGGGGGCUAGCGUUGUCCGGAAUUAUUGGGUGUAAAGGGCUCGUAGGCGGGUCGAUUAGUCGAGAUUUAAAUACCACGGCUUAACCGUGGGACUGGUCUCGAUACUGUCGACCUUGAGUUUGGUAGAGGCAAGCGGAAUUCCUGGUGUAGCGGUGAAAUGCGUAGAUAUCAGGAAGAACACCGAAGGCGAAGGCAGCUUGCUGGGCCAAAACUGACGCUGAGGAGCGAAAGCGUGGGUAGCGAACAGGAUUAGAUACCCUGGUAGUCCACGCCGUAAACGAUGAGUACUUGGUGGCAGGGGAUUCGACCCCUUCGCUGUCGGAGCUAACGCGUUAAGUACUCCACCUGGGGACUACGAUCGCAAGAUUG